AGAAAAAGAAAAAGAAAAAGAAAAGGCUUAAGAAGAAAUUCCCAUAGAACUCCAUAUUUCAUCAUCUUUUUAUUAAUUGUUUUCAUAAGUCUCAAACUUUAUCAUAAAAAUAAACAUAUAUCUUAAUGAUGUUUAGUAUAAAUUAAAUAAACUUUUUUAAUUUUCUGAUGUAGUUUGCUACUUGAUUUGGAUAUACAAAUAUAUUUAUUCUGAUUAUUGUUUACAAGCUUAAUUUACAUAU
rnacentral:misc_RNA from 1 species